GCCAGUGUGGUGUAGUGGUUUGAAUGCUGGGCUAGAAAUUUAGGGACCAGGGCUCAAGUCCCUGCUCAGCCA